GGCAAAACGAGCCAUUUCCGAAUGGAUUUGGUUCAGCCAAGUGCAGCGACAGCU
rnacentral:snoRNA from 1 species